CAUCCUCCUAAGCGUGCUUAGGAUUUCUCAUUUCUUCCGCUCCAUUCUACAUCACAGCCGCCCUGUUCUUAUCUGUCUUCUUCGAUCUUCAUCUCGACGGAUCGAAGAUUGAAGAUCCAGCUUUUUUUCCAUUAAUCACCGGUUCCAUUUGAAUCCUAAAACUUAUGUUUUUUUUGGGAUACGGCAUACGGCGGCGAUAGAUGUGGAGUUCUUUAUUCGAUCUCAACAUUUAUGUUCAAUCUUUCUACGGGCUUGGGUGCUUUCGGUCCAGAAUUUAGGGUUUAUUUUUCCCUUUUAUCAUUUCAAUAUGUUGAUCUGAUUAUCUUUUAUUUUGAUUAUGUAUUGAUUUGGAAGCAUGUGUUUCAUUAUAUGAUCGUCACUGAAGGGGUGAAGGGUUUGUGACUGCAGGAACCCAAUUUUUUUGGGAAUUAAUUUGUAAUGAUCCAUAUUAAUAUUAGUUAUCUGAUUGGAUCGUAACUGAUCAAGUUUAGAUUUAUAUGGUUUAGGAUAACUGAAUAAGGAUCAAGUUUAUUGAAACUUUAUACGUGAAUUGUUGUUGGUUGGUAUGAUUAAGUUAUAUGAAUUGAAAUUCGCUCUCGAAUCAUUCUGGGAUGGCAAGAGCAGUGCCGAGGAUCUGCAGACUGUUGCUGCUGAUCUCAGAUCAUCCAUCUGGAAACUAAAGCUGUAUGUGAUCUUUAUAUGUUCUUUAAGCAUUUAGAGUUAUUUUUGCAUCAAAGUCUUAUGUUGAUUACUUCUUUUAUGCAGCUUGGAGUUGAUAUUGUCCCAGUGAGUGUUUCUUGAUCUCAGAUUAAAUGUUCUUUUUUUAGUUAUAGUUUGCAGUAAUGGUUUUAUUCAAAAUUAUAUUUAUCAUUGAUAAUAUUUGUAUUUUUUUAAUGUCAAAUGGGUCGAAUGAAAAUGUUUGCUAAGAGAGGUAGGUUAAAUGAGUUAAGGUAGUUAAAAUCUAUAUUUUUUUUUUGUCUCAAACAGGUCAAAUUAAAAAUGGCUUUCUUAUAACAUGGGGUUGAAGCUGGAAAAGAAUUAUCAAAAGGUUUGGUGGAAGGCAUUGAGCAGAAACCAAAAAAAGGUUGCAAAGAGCAAAGAUGAAGGUUCCAAGAACAAGAGAAAAGAAAAGGAAAUUGAUGUUAGUAAGGUCACAUCUUUUUUUAAGGAAAAUAAAGAACAGGAUAGUGAUGCAAAGGUCCAGUACGUGAUCUUUGGGACUUCGUUGUGACUUUGAUGACUGGAAAGAUUGUUGGGGUUCUGAUUAGAAUCUGAUGUGGAUCUAGAAAACGGUGUUGCUGAUGACACAGACUGUUCAGGGGCUGUUAUACAUGCACAUAAAGCUGGCUAAUACAACUGCAAAUGGCUGCGAAAAACAGUCAUACAGGGCUGGGAAUUAUACCCGUAUAGGGUUGGAAUACUUUUGUUCUAUGGGGGUUGUUAUACAGCCAUGUAAGGCUGUGAAAUACGCUCUUAUGGGGCUAGAAAUAUGCUUGUACAAGGUUUAAUGAAGAUUAACAAGCAUUUUAAAGGAAACUCUCCUUUCUAUGAAGCUUGCUUCUGUUAAUCCUAUACUAUAUGAUUUUGGAGUU